rnacentral:rRNA from 1 species
UUUAAUUUUUUUAAAAGUGACGGGCGAUAUGUGCAUAUUUAAUUUCUUUUUCUAUUCUAAAUUUUCUUUUUUAAAAUUAAUUUUAAAUCCUAAUUGACUUUUCUUAUUUUAAUUGGUUCUUUAUUUUUUUAUUGUAUUUCAUUUUUUCUUUAGUAUAAUUCUUGUCCUGAUUUGUAUUAUUUAUUUAUUUGUACUUUUUAAGAAUAUUUUUAUUUAAUUCUUUUUACAAUGAUAUAAGAAAUAAUAAUUAAAGUAGAUUUAAUCGCGGGUUGUCGAUUAUAAAACAAAAUCCUCUAAUUAGUUUAAAUACCGCCAUUUUUUUUAGAUUUUUCUUUCCUUAGAUACUAUCUUUACUUCUCUUAAAA